GAUGAACGCUGGCGGCGUGCCUAAUACAUGCAAGUCGAGCGGACUUUCCGGAGUGCUUGUCCUCCGGAGGGUUAGCGGGGGGCGUGUGUGAAACACGUAUGCCACCUGCCCAUGAGUCGGGGAUCUCAUUCGGAAAGGAAUGCUAAUACCGGAUAGACGUACUUCUCGUAGGUCGGGAGUGGGAGAGGGGUUGGAAUUUGCCUCUUGUGGAUGGCGCUGCGGCGCAUUAGCUAGUUGGUGGGGUAACGGCCUACCAAGGCGACGAUGCGUAGCCGACCUGAGAGGGUGAUCGGCCACACUGGGACUGAGACACGGCCCAGACUCCUACGGGAGGCAGCAGUAGGGAAUCUUCCGCAAUGGGCGCAAGUCUGACGGAGCAACGCCGCGUGAGUGAGGAAGGCCUUCGGGUCGUAAAGCUCUGUUGCCAGGGAAGAACGAAUAUGGGAGUAACUGCCCUUGCCAUGACGGUACCUGAGAAGAAAGCCCCGGCUAACUACGUG
rnacentral:rRNA from 1 species